AUGAUCACUUAAGUUAAGCAACAUUGAGCCUGGUUAGUAUUUAGGUGGGUGACUGCUUGGGAAUACCAGGUGCUGUAAG